rnacentral:lncRNA from 1 species
UGAGGCAGACAGAGCACAUGAAUGUGGAGGAGUUCACGGAUAAAUUCUUAGAGCUAUUGCCUUUUUCAGGGCAAGCUCUAGAUUCAGAUACGAAGAAAGCCAAGAGGUAUGUUAUGAAGCUGCAUUCCAGGUACUCCUCGUUGAUUCAGUCAGUUGAGAGGGAAAGUUUCCACACUGUGGUGGAUAUGGCUCGAAGAAUGGAGGCAAGUGCUAUAGUUGAGGGGUCAGUGAAGCAAUCAGUGACCCAGUCUUCAGGGGUUAAGACCCCAGGCAGAGGAGGGCCAG